UACGUAGGGGGCAAGCGUUGUCCGGAUUUACUGGGCGUAAAGCGCGCGUAGGCGGAACGUUAAGUCCGGUCUGAAAGCCCCCGGCCCAACCGGGGAGGGUGGCUGGAAACUGGCGUUCUUGAGGGCGAGAGAGGAGGGUGGAAUUCCUGGUGUAGCGGUGAAAUGCGUAGAGAUCAGGAGGAACACCCGUGGCGAAGGCGGCCCUCUGGCUCGACCCUGACGCUGAGGCGCGAAAGCGUGGGGAGCGAACAGG
rnacentral:rRNA from 1 species